rnacentral:rRNA from 1 species
UAGGGAAUCUUCGGCAAUGGGGCAACCCUGGCCGAGCAACGCCGCGUGAGUGAAGAAGGUUUUCGGAUCGUAAAGCUCUGUUGUAAGAGAAGAACGUGUGUGAGAGUGGAAAGUUCACACAGUGACGGUAACUUACCAGAAAGGGACGGCUAACUACGUGCUAG